rnacentral:rRNA from 1 species
UACGGGAGGCAGCAGGGGGAAUAUUGCACAAUGGGCGCAAGCCUGAUGCAGCCAUGCCGCGUGUAUGAAGAAGGCCUUCGGGUUGUAAAGUACUUUCAGUCGUGAGGAAGGUGUUAAGGUUAAUAACCUUAGCAAUUGACGUUAGCGACAGAAGAAGCACCGGCUAACUCCGUGCCAGCAGCCGCGGCAAUACGGAGGGUGCGAGCGUUAAUCGGAAUUACUGGGCGUAAAGGGCACGCAGGCGGUUAAUUAAGUUGGAUGUGAAAUCCCCGGGCUUAACCUGGGAAUGGCAUUCAAGACUGGUUAGCUAGAGUCUUGUAGAGGGGGUAGAAUUCCAUGUGUAGCGGUGAAAUGCGUAGAGAUGUGGAGGAAUACCGGUGGCGAAGGCGGCCCCUGGACAAAGACUGACGCUCAUGUGCGAAAGCGUGGGGAGCAAACAGGGAUUAGAUACC